rnacentral:rRNA from 1 species
AUGCAGUUCACGGCUACAGAUGCUGUCCUCGUAAUACUUAAUCUGGUGAACGAGUGGGUGGUCCGGGCGCUGGUCCUUUUGAGCCUGGUGACGCAUCUUGUGCUGGUCCUCCUCGCCGGGGUCCGCCGGCGUAGAGCCACGGGUGUGCGCACAGCCGUCCUGUGGUUUUCUUACCAGGUGGCCGGCUGGGCGGCGACACGCUCCAUCAGCCACCUCAUGCUGGGCAUCGUCACGUCCAGCCAGCAGCACCUGCACGCCUUCUGGACUCCCUUCCUCCUCGUGCACCUCGCCUUGCCGGACAACAUCAGCGCCUACUCCGUUGAAGACAACGCAUUAUCAGGCCGGGAAUUGGCGGUCGCCCCCGCGCAGGUCGCCGGAGCCAUCCUCGCCCUGUGCAAGCACUUCGUCAUCGUCCAUGACGCCGGGACCUUGCGGCCGGCGGCCUACCUCAUGUUCCCCCUGGGCAUUGCCAAGUACAUAGAGAGUGUACGGGCGCGGCGGCAAGGCAAUCUGGGCACCAUCCGGCGGUCAAUCAAGAAGAUGAAGCCCGAGGAGCUGAGCGAUGCAGAGCGUGAAGGCCAAGGCUUCAACAACGAGCAAGCCUUGCUGGUUGCCCAUGGCCUUCUGUACGUCACCAAGGGUGCCUUUGCGGACUGUUACUUCAGCUUGAAGCCUGAAGCCGCCAGAAAAGUAAGAGCCUUCUCCCGGUGUCAAGGUUGGGAGGACAUGUGCAAGGUGGUGGAGAUGGAGCUGUCCCUCAUCAAAGACAGCCAGAGCAGUGCAGAUGUCAUCGUCACCUACUCCUUGCUCAUUGUGACACUCGUCCUUGAUGUCGGGUGGCUACUUAGAUCACUGGGAUCCACAUGGACAUGUGCAUUCCUCAAGCAUAGGCCGUAUUCGAUUCUUCGGUGUUCGCAUCGGCUGAUCCGCAGCUUGGGCUUCAUGGCGGACAAGUAUCAUCUAACUAGCUACAGGAUGUGGUCGGCCACGGGCACCAUUGGGCAGUACAACCUGCUGAGCGAGAGCUGUCGCGGAAGAAGGGGUGGCACCACCAUGAGCAUAUCUAGCAGGCUAGUGAAGAUGGUUGCAAAGGAAGACAAUUGGAUGGAAUACCAUUACGGAUAUGGACAGUUCUUACCAUGUGUCAGGGACUUGUUGUUCCAAGGGAUAUGGACAAUUCUCAAGAAAGCCUUCCCACCACCACAAGAAAUAUUAGCUGACAAGGUGACCGGCAAGGUGUCCGCUUAUCCAUCCGGUGACAGUCCUCCACUUCCACCGCCUGUUGAGGCUCGUAAGGCGUUCGUCAAUCCAGAGGCGGGCCAAGCGAGACAGUCGGAAUUAGGCGACGCUCUUGAUAUCGGCCCUGAGUUCCAAGAGGUAGUCCUCAGGUGGCACAUCGCAACCGACAUCUUCCUCUUGUGCAGGCAAAGCUCAACAGCAUCCGGCAGCUGCAACUCCUACAAAUAUGUCAAGGCCAUACAAGGGCUAUCAAAUUAUAUGAUUCCAAGAGAUGAGAUGGAGUUUGCAGAAAUCCUUAAAGCCAUGAAACCGAUAGAAGGCUCUACGCCACUUAUUCUAUCGGAGGGAAGGCUCUAUGCCAAGUUAAUGCUCAGUCGGGUGAACCCCAAUGAGAUGGAUCCGGAUGACAAGACGGAUAUUACGAAGGCCCUUGAUCUACUUAAGAAUUUAAUGCCCGACUUGUGGUGGUUGGAGAAGGACACAGUGGGAGAUUGGUCGCUGCCGAUGGAUAACAUGUUGAAACAAAUCUUGGGUGGAUGGGUGCGUUUGCUCCUACAUGCGUCCACACGGUGCAGCCGUGGUUCCCAUGCCAAGCAGCUUGGCCGUGGCGGAGACCUCACCACUGUUGUGUGGAUGCUCGCUGAACACGCCGGCCUAUUUCGCAUCCCGCCAGACAACUAA